rnacentral:rRNA from 1 species
UACGUAGGGUGCAAGCGUUGUCCGGAAUUAUUGGGCGUAAAGAGCUCGUAGGCGGUCUGUUGCGUCGGCUGUGAAAACCCGGGGCUCAACCCCGGGCCUGCAGCCGAUACGGGCAGACUAGAGUUCGGCAGGGGAGACUGGAAUUCCUGGUGUAGCGGUGAAAUGCGCAGAUAUCAGGAGGAACACCGGUGGCGAAGGCGGGUCUCUGGGCUGACACUGACGCUCAUGCACGAAAGCGUGGGGAGCAAACAGG